AAGGCUUGCGUAGUUAACGGCUCUUGUAGCAGCGGGGCUCUGCUGACACCUCAAGUUUGAGCUGCUCUUUUAAAAGAAGGCACAGAGAUCAGAUUUCUGUGAUUCCUCCUCAUUGCACGGAACUUACAGGAACUGCCACAUAAACAGAAACAGCAGCCUGAAGAAACUAAGAUGGGGAAAUACAGAAUCAAUGGAACUUCAGACAGUCUAGUAUCCGAAGGCGAAAUGCUCAGUGUGAGGAAACCCACUCGGAGGUGUCAAGUGGAAGGCAUAAUUAUGGGAAGAAAAAAGUAUUUUUGAAAAGAGCAGUCUGGUGAAGGCACCUUUGAAUGAUGGAAGAAGAAGAUAUAGAUGAUGAACAUGUACACAUGACUACAUCUCAUUUGUAUUUUACUUGAGAUAAUUUCCUUUGUGCUUAGGACAGAUGUGUACACAGAUCUGUGAUUUCUCAAAGGAUGUUAUUGUAGCAAUGAUAACAGCAACGUGGUGCCAUCUAUCAUCAUAUCUUGUAAGCUAGGAAGCCAAAGGCCUCAUAGCAUCUGCCGUACUAGCCACAAUGUGCAUAAUUAGUUCCACAGGCAUAUGAAAGUAUUGAUGUUUAAAACAUUCCCUACAUAUACACUAUAGUAUAAAGAGCAUGUGACAGAAAGUAGCUAAAAACCUCAAACUGUUGUGUGGAAAUGUAGUGAUUGCUCAUUGUCUUGACCCUAGAGUAGGAGAGGAGAGCUCAUAGCUUCAGCACACAUUGAAGGCCAUCAUGUUCACUGUUGUUUUGACCACUUGAGACUAACUCAACAGUAUCUGUAAAGCAGUCAGUGUGCUGCCACAAUAAACACAGAGAAGUCAUUUGUCUCAUAAGCCAGAGAAUGAACAAAGGCUCAUCCAUACCCAGCUGUGGAACAGCUGCAAUUUCUCUAAUACAUUGUAGCCUUGAAUAUCAUUGAUGUUGCUAAAUGACUGCCCUCCAAAAAACCCAACAAACAACUGAAAGAGUCAG